rnacentral:rRNA from 1 species
UACGUAGGGUGCGAGCGUUGCCCGGAUUUAUUGGGCGUAAAGGGCGCGUAGGCGGCUCGGCACGUCCGUUGUGAAAUCGCCCGGCUCAACUGGGCGGGGUCAGCGGAUACGGUCGAGCUUGAGCAAGCUAGGGGGCAAUGGAAUUCCAGGUGUAGCGGUGAAAUGCGUAGAUAUCUGGAGGAACACCGGUGGCGAAGGCGGCAUCCUGGACCAAUUCUGACGCUGAGGAGCGAAAGCCAGGGGAGCAAACGGG